rnacentral:tRNA from 1 species
CGUGGGGUAGAACAGUCUGGUAGUUCGCGGGGCUCAUAACUCCGAGGUCGCCGGUUCAAAUCCGGUCCCCACCA